GAGUGAACGAGGAGCCCCGUGAUCUCCUGUGGUUCAAGAGAGACUUCAGAAGGCUUCUCCAGGGAAAGUGACCGAGGCAGUGAAAGAGGCCAUUGACACAGGGUACCGGCACUUCGACUGUGCUUACUUUUACCACAAUGAGAGGGAGGUUGGAGCAGGGAUCCGUUGCAAGAUCAAGGAAGGCGCUGUAAGACGGGAGGAUCUGUUCAUUGCCACUAAGCUGUGGUGCACCUGCCAUAAGAAGUCCUUGGUGGAAACAGCAUGCAGAAGGAGUCUCAAGGCCUUGAAGCUGAACUAUUUGGACCUCUACCUCAUACACUGGCCCAUGGGUUUCAAGCCUCCUCAUCCAGAAUGGAUCAUGAGCUGCAGUGAACUUUCCUUCUGCCUCUCACAUCCUAGAGUGCAGGACUUGCCUCUGGACGAGAGCAACAUGGUCAUUCCCAGUGACACGGACUUCCUGGACACAUGGGAGGCCAUGGAGGACCUGGUGAUCACCGGGCUGGUGAAGAACAUCGGUGUGUCAAACUUCAACCAUGAACAGCUUGAGAGGCUUUUGAAUAAGCCUGGGUUGAGGUUCAAGCCACUAACCAACCAGAUUGAGUGCCACCCAUAUCUUACUCAGAAGAAUCUGAUCAGUUUUUGCCAAUCCAGAGAUGUGUCCGUGACUGCUUACCGUCCUCUUGGUG
rnacentral:sRNA from 1 species